UACAGAGGCCUCGAGCGUUGUUCGGAAUUACUGGGCGUAAAGGGAAUGUAGGUGGUGACGUAAGUCAGAUGUGAAAGCCCCCGGGCUUAACCUGGGAAGUGCAUUUGAUACUGCGCCGCUGGAGUGCGAGAGAGGAAAGUGGAAUUCCUAGUGUAGGAGUGAAAUCCGUAGAUAUUAGGAGGAAUACCGAUGGCGAAGGCAACUUUCUGGCUCGUAACUGACACUGAGAUUCGAAAGCGUGGGUAGCAAACAGG
rnacentral:rRNA from 1 species